AUCCCUCCGAUCCCUCCCUCUUCAACCCACGGCGCCUUCUCUCUUACUAGCCGCCGCCGCCGCCGCCGCCGCAGCUCAACCGUCGGCUACGCCGCCGCUUCCUGGGCAUCUCGGUCCAGCCCUCUCAGCCCGCCCUCCGCGCCAGGUCGGGGGCCGCCGCCUGGGGCGCGCGCGCGCGCCCUCGACCCCGUACGGCGGCCGGAAUCUGGUGGAUGCGCCGCCGCCAUCACCGCAGGUUCCUUCUCGCCGCCGCCGCGCCGUCAUUCAUGGCGAGGCGUCGCCGGGAAGGACUAGGACUUUAAUCCAUGCUAUUCAACAUCCCACACUGCAAAUCACAAGCUCCUGUAGCAGCCGCCGCCGCCGCCACCGCCGUCGCGGCUAUCCCCAGCAGCUUCCUCUCCUCCUCCUUGCCGGCGCUGGUUCCGCUGCCCCCGCCUCUGCCCGAGGAGAGCCCGUUCGCCGCGCUCCUCGCCGCUGAUCCCCCACCGCCGGAACCUCUCCGCCUGGUGCUCGCCGCGGGCGACGUCCGCUCCGCGCUCCGCGGCCUCCCGGGCCUCGCGCGCCAGCUCUUCCGGUGGGCGGAGGCCACGCCGCGGGGCUUCCCGCGCACCGCCUCCGCGUUCGCCGACGUCCUCGUCCCGCUCGCCCAAGCCAACCACCUCCGGGCCGCCUACCCUGUCUCCCUCCGCGCCCUGCACCUCGGCCUCCUCCUCCCCCUCGUGUCCCUCCUCCUAUCCGCUCCCCGCUCUCCCUCCAACCAAUCCCUGCUCAGCCUCCUCUUACGCUUGUCCACCAAGUUCACGGCCCAAUGCGGGGCUCGCGACCCCGCGCCCACGACCUGUUCGACGCUGUGCCUUGCCGCCUUCCGCGAGAUGGCGUGCCACGGCGUGGCCCCUGAUGUCAAGGACUGCAACCGUGUGCUGCGCGUGCUUCGUGAUGCAGCCAGGUGGGACGACGUUCAUGCUGUGUAUGCAGAGAUGCUCCAUCUUGGGAUUGAGCCAAGCAUUGUGACCUACAACACUUUGCUGGAUUCUUACUUGAAGGAGGGAAGGAAGGACAAGGCUGGCAUGCUGCUGAAGGAGAUGGAGACCCAGGGAGGUGAUUGCUCUCUGAAUGAUGUUACAUGUAAUGUGAUGAUUAGUUGGUUCACCAGGGAAGGUAAUCUGGACAAGGCGGCAAGGCUGGUUGACAGCAUGCGGUUGUCCAAGACAGCUUCAUCCUUUACUUACAACCCACUUAUCACUGCAUUGCUUGAAAGGGGUUUUAUAGAAAAGGUUGAGUCUUUGCAGUUGGAGAUGGAGAAUGAGGGCAUUAUGCCUACAGUGGUGACAUACAAUGCCAUUAUUGAUGGGCUCCUUAAAAGUGGGCAGGUAGAAGCUGCGCAGGUGAAAUUUGUGGAAAUGAGGGCGAUGGGCUUACUGCCAGACUUGAUUACUUACAGUUUGUUGAUAAAGGGUUAUUGUAAGGCAGGCAAUUUGAAGGAGGCAUUUUGGUUGCUUGGUGAUUUGAGACGUGCUGGGUUGGGACCAACAGUUUUGAAAUAUAAUAUUCUUAUGGAUGGUUAUUGUAGAUUAGGUGAUUUAGAAGAAGCUAGGAGAUUGAAAGAGGAAAUGGUAGAGCAAGGCUGUUUGCCUGAUGUUUGUACAUAUACUAUUCUCAUGAAUGGUUCGUGUAAGGUGAGGAGCCUUGCUAUGGCAAGAGAGUUCUUUGAUGAGAUGCUGAGCAAAGGUUUGCAGCCAGACUCCUUUGCCUAUAACACCAGGAUUUGCGCAGAGCUAACCCUAGGGGCUACUUCCAAGGCUUUCCAGUUGAAGGAGGUGAUGGUGUUGGAAGGAAUAUAUCCUGAUACAGUCACAUACAAUAUUCUUAUUGAUGGACUGUGCAAGACUGGUAACCUGAAAGAUGCCAAAGAUCUGAGGACAAAGAUGGUCACUGAUGGUUUACAGCCUGAUUUUAUCACAUAUACCUGCUUGAUUCACGCGCAUUGUGAAAGAGGACUCCUAAGAGAAGCAAUAGAACUUCUUGGUAACAUGAUCUCAGAUCAGUUUUCACCCUCAGCUGUGACCUAUACCUUUUUAAUUCAUGCAUACUGUAGAAGAGGAAACCUUUAUUCAGCAUAUGGUUGGUUUCGGAAGAUGCUGGAGGAAGGAGUUGAACCUGAUGAAAUAACAUAUAAUGUGCUCAUACAUGCACUAUGCAGGACAGGCAGAACUCAACUAGCUUAUCGUCAUUUCCAUGAGAUGCUGGAAAGGGGAUUAAUACCAAACAGAUGUACAUAUACUUUUUUGAUAUAUGGGAACUGUAGAGAAGGCAACUGGGAAGAUGCAAUGAGAUUGUAUUUUGAGAUGCAUCAGAAUGGUAUUCAUCCAGAUGAUUGCACACAUAAUGCCUUGUUUAAAGGGUUUGAUGAAGGCCGCAUGCACCAUGCAAUUGAGUACUUGGAGAAUAUCGUUUUGGGUGAAUAGAUUGUUCUCCCUGAAGAUUGACCUAUUGUCCUUGCUUCGCGGUCCCUCGAUGAUAGAUGGGGUUCUGUGGGCAAUUCCUUUUAGAAGGGAAAGGAAAAGAGAGUUUGAGACAAUCUUCUCUAAGUUGCUGGGUGCUUUCCAAAUGACUAGUUAAGCACAGAGAGGCCUUCUUGCACUUGCUGCUCAAGAGAUCGUUGAUGGAGUUGGGGGGUAGUUCUGUUAGAAAGAAGAAAAGAAAAUAGUUGAGCACAAACAGGUAAAGCAAGGAUGGUAUGUUAUGUGCAAUCCAGAGAGCCCUCUGCUUUUGCCCAAUCAGGUUCUUGAAGGCCUGCCUGGAUGCUAUAGAUGGGAAGGAGGUGUAGCUGAUAAUUGGCACGGUUGAUUUCUUGCUCCUGGAUGCUGGCUGUCCAUUACAACAAGCUUCCUGGCUUUGCUCAGAUUGGUGAAGAGGAGAGGGUACAAGACACGAGCAGUAUGGCUGGUGUAGUUCCGGAUGGUCACUAGCAGGCUGGUAGUAUGCUGUAGGAAAAAGUGCAACAAUUGAUAACUGCACGUCUCCGUUCAAAUGGUUUUGAGAUAAGCAUGGUCCUUAAGAUUUUAACAUCUGGUACCUACAAUAAAACACAAACAGUGGCACGGCAUUUGUACAUGAAUUCAAAGAUGGUCCGAAUAUAUGAAUGAUCUUUUGAAUACUGAUGCAAAUGUAUAGUAACAUAACCAUCCAA